rnacentral:rRNA from 1 species
CACCGCGGUUAUACGAGAGGCCCAAGCUGACAGACUCUCGGCGUAAAGCGUGGUUAAUGAUAAGAAAACUAAAGCCGAAUACUCUCAAAACUGUUAUACGUACUUGACAGUAAGAAGCCCUUUUACGAAAGUAGCUUUACAGUAUUGAAUCCACGAAAGCUAAGGCA